UGUGUGUGUGUGUGUGUGUGUGUGUGUGUGUGUGUGUGUGUGUGUGUGUGUGUGUGUGUGUGUGUGUGUGUGUGUGUGUCCAUUCCCCUUUCCUGUUUAUAUAUAAGUACAUUGCUGUGUGUGUGUGUUAGUCUUUCCUGCAGCCUUUAGGUUUAGUUUUGGUGUCUUAGUUUCUUAGGGUUAUUUGGCCCUCUGUUUCUGUUUCCCAUUUUGAUUAUUAGGUUCACCUGUCUUCCCUCCAGCUCUCACUUCACACACCUGCUGCCAUUUUCCCUGAUUGCUCCUCCCAGUGUAUUUAAGCCCUGUCUGUCUCUGUGUUCUUGUCGGUCCAUUAAUGUUUGUUGAUUCUGUCAGUUUAGUCCCUCUGUGUUUAACCAGAGUUUCUUGAUUCCCAGAUAAUAAUCUGCUCUUUGACCUUUGGGAUUUUUGGCUUUUUGGAUUUUGACUCCCAGUUUGGAUUACCUUGGUUUUUGGCUCACCCACAAAAUAAAGACUUUUUAUUUAAAAUCUUCAUCCCUGCCUCCGUGUCAUCCUGGGUACUGCAUUUUGGGUCCACACCACCACAUCGUGACACUAAAACCUUAUGCAGCAGCAGCUAUAAGUCAUUCACGACACUUAUUCUGACCAGGCUGGACUAGGCUUGGUUACGAGGGCCGAUUCUUCCCCGGGCCGCUCUCUGAAGCAAAGAGAUGAUGUUGGCCUCUUGGCUUAGGCUGCUGCCCCCGCGACAUGACUCCAGAUAAGCACCCGAAAAAUGGAUGGAUGGAUUUGUUGAAGCGUUUUUUUCACUAAUUUCACUGAUCCCUGUUGGGCAUCAAUAAAUGUGUAUCACGAGA